CCUACGGGUGGCAGCAGUGGGGAAUAUUGCGCAAUGGGCGAAAGCCUGACGCAGCGACGCCGCGUGAGGGAUGAAGGUCUUCGGAUCGUAAACCUCUGUCAGCAGGGAAGAACGGUCACUGUGCUAAUCACCUGUGAAUUGACGGUACCUGCAAAGGAAGCACCGGCUAACUCCGUGCCAGCAGCCGCGGUAAUACGGAGGGUGCGAGCGUUAAUCGGAAUUACUGGGCGUAAAGCGCUCGUAGGCGGUAUGUCAAGUCAAGGGUGAAAUCCCCGCGCUCAACGUGGGAACUGCCUGUGAAACUGGCAAACUGGAGUGUGGGAGAGGAGAGUAGAAUUCCAGGUGUAGGAGUGAAAUGCGUAGAGAUGGGGAGGAAUAUCAGUGGCGAAGGCGACUAGCUGGAACAUAACUGACGCUGAGGAGCGAAAGCGUGGGGAGCAAACAGGAUUAGAUACCCGUGUAGUC
rnacentral:rRNA from 1 species